AUCAUAUCGGCGGUUAAUGAUCUAUUAAGUGAUGUGUGUGCUUCGUGGGCAGCGGGAGAGGAAGAGAGGAAAAACAAAUUGUGUCGACGCUUGCUUCUUCGCCCUCCUAAUGAGAGUCCCGUCCUACGGAUUUUAGGAAUGAAUAAGAAGAAAUGAAAUCCGCCUUCAAAUGUUGCAUCGAGCGCUGGAGGCUGCGGAGGCUGCGGCUCACAUUCGACGUCUCGCGUCCGAGCGGCUCACAUCUCCCGGAACGGGGAGGCCCGCCGCACCCGGGCUGGACCACCGACCGGGGUGGCCACGAUUCCGGGUUCGCCUGCCACGCCAAACCUUUUUUUUCCCCUCUUCUUUCUGUGCACUCAACUGGAAUGGAGGAUGUUAUAAUUGCAAGGAGUUUUUUUCCCCACUCUUUUUCCCUCACUUUGAGUGUUUUUUAUAAAUCAUCGUAUUAUUAUUAUUAUUUUUCUUUUUUUCUUUUUUUUUUUUUAUAUGGCCGUUCACCGCGAGUCAACACCCGGAGGAAGCCGAGUUGCAAGGCCGAUCGGGGACGACGACGAGCCGGCGCUCGCGCAGCAGCUUUGACGCGUGUGAGAUCUAAUUGACAAGUGGGAGAGUCCAGUUUGCAGUGAAGGAAGCCAACAGCCGCGUCACACUUAAUUGACGCGCACAACAAGAGGCACAGCGAUUGUGUGACAUCAGGGUGGUUUCGUGUUUGCGUGGCCGCUCUUGGUUUAUUUUCUCGUGGCUGGGCGCCCCUGGUGGCACGUUUGUGCCUUGCUCGCAUUUUCAUGACGAGCAUGGAUUUAAACUUCACUACACCACUUAUAUUUGUGUUUAAUUUAAAAGACAAAGCGAGGGCCGAGGGGGGUGUAAAAAUUGAAUGGUAUAAUUGUGGGCCUUUUGUGAGAUUAGAUGUCUCCGAUUGGCAUUCUUUAAAUAUAACAAGUAAUACGUGUCACACACCUAUUGGCUUAAAAAAAAAAAGUGUCUUUUGCUGUGGUUCUUCCGUUAAUGUAAAUUACAAUAUUUGCAUAGUCGUUUGGCUUCUUUCCAAGUAGUUUAUCGUGCAAAAUCAUAUGCAUCGGGUUGUUCCCGAAAUUGGGGGUCGUGCCAACACAGAAGGCAAAGCAAAUCUGACGAUAGGUCACAUCCUCCACAAGUUGCAUCAAUACUGAGAACUUCAGAAACAAUCUGGGAAACUAUGUACAGUCCUAUCAUGAUUUCAAUAUUCAAUGAUGAUCAUUAAAAAAAAAAAAAGACAGUAAUGGCUAAUGUGCUGUCAAGGCAAAAAUCCGUCCAGAAAGAAUGCAUCCCCCUCUGUGUUUGCACCACCAGGUGAUUAAGAUGAUAUCAACAGGAGGCUUUAAUGGCUUUUAAAUGGCCGACUGCACUACGUGACGGUCAGAGUUUUUCUUUGUUCACGUCUGGAUCUGACACAACUGAAGUGCAUAUGAAACUUUGUCCAUAUAGGCACGAGCCGACUCCGGACGAGUUUGCGCGUGGGCGCUCCGUGAGCGUGCGGCCGCGACCGACACGGAGGCUCACGCGGGCGAGUCGUGCGGCACAAAACGUGUUCAAGGCUGAGAACCGCGACGAUAUAGCGUUGAACUGUUUUUCAGUUUUCCUGAUUUUUCGGGUGGGGCGCUUGGGCGUCCGGCUUCCACGACUAUGUAAGAACCUGAGCUAGCCUGUGACGUUGUUAGCUUACAAGCUAGCUGGUGGCUAGCGCCUGUCGUGACCCGGUGCGAUAUAUUCCAGCCACCGUAUGCUUUAAGUGGAUCUAUUUCAGUGGCUAAAAUAUGUAAGCAUGUGUACAGGUAUAGACAUAAAAAAAAUGUUCCAAAGACAUAGUAUCGAUUUUUCACCGAGCGGACACGCCCACAGCAUUUGAGAGUGGAGAUAGCCGCUUUAUUUGUUUUGCAUUUUGAAGCCUCAUUUUCUAUAUUUGUAAAUCAAUUUGCCAACACGCGUCCCUGCGAUGUGAAAAAAAAUGUAGACGAUUUUCACUUCCCCUAUUUUUUUUAGUUGUUUGCUUUAUUGUUUUAGUUCCUCACUCACUGAACCGCACUUUCACACCACAAAUUGACAAAUUGUGCUCUGGUUCUUUAAUAUUAAAUGUUUUAAAGAUGUUUUGAGCCUACUUUUAAAUGUUUUAUGAAGGGAAUUUUAGUCAAAAAUAGACCACAAUAAAACGCGUACUAAAGGUCAAAGGUCAAGAAAGCACCACUUUUAAUCAUUAUUUACACUGAAAAAAAUAUAACAUAGCUGUCACACUUAAUAUCUAUCUAUCUAUCUAUCUAUCUAUCUAUCUAUCUAUCUAUCUAUCUAUCUAUCUAUCUAUCUAUCUAUCUAUCUAUCUAUCUAUCUAUAUAUUUUUUUAAAGUUUAAAUUGUUGAAAAUUUGUAGUUUGUGAUUUAAAUAUAUUUUUCUUACUUUACGAUAAUUGAAAUUCACAGCUUGGCACCAAACUGAAAUUUUUCAUUUUGAAAGGAAUUAAUUGAAUUGAAUGUAAUUUGCGUGUGCAUUGCACAAUUAGACAGGAGGAACGGUGUUGACAUUGAUAAGCAAGAUGAAUAAACUUUGCAUUUUGGUAACGUUACAGUCAGUUUAAAGUCACCUCCUGGCCUCCGGACUCUCUCACCCCUCUCCUGCGGCCCUGGCCCCGCCCACCCCGGGUCAUUUAUCAUGGAGCGGGAGGGGAGCCUACGGGCCCGCAGGCCCCUGUCAACCCCUGCAAUCGCCUCUUUGUGGCUCCCAGCAAACAAGUGUCGGAUCAGCAAAAGUCUAUUAAAGCCCGGUGGGCCUUUCUCAGCCAAUUGGGUCCGGGUCAGUGAGUCGCUCUCCCGGCUGCUCCGAGAGCUCUUUUGUGUCGCCGCCGUUCGCUGACACAAGAUUAAUGAUUUUUAGCAGGCACUUGGUUCUUAUUCGCAGCGUUCUACCCCGUUCCCCUCUCUUUGCCCCCUCUUUGCGCCGCUCGUAAUGCCUCCCUUCAACCCAUUUCUCAUACGCCUUCUUAUUUCUUGUUUUUCAUCUCACUCCCCCCCCCCCCCUGCCCGCUAACCCAAUCAAUGCUAAGCGUUUGCGUCUUCAUUUUCUCUGGUCAUUAUGCCUCCAGCUGAUAGCCGCUAAUGCCUAAUGAAUCUGAAGCAUGUUGAUAACCAACUUUAAAAUCCACAUUACAACCAUGGCAAGCCUUCCUCGCGGCGAGCCUCAAGAGGCUGCGAGUAAUUUCAAAUCUUCCAGCCCCCUUUCACCAGUUCCAUGUUGGUCAUGUUCUCAGUGUUGUUUCCAGUAAUCACUGCAGGUUAAGUGCACGUCCCGGAGCCCAGCGGAGGCAGCUCUAUCUCUCACCUGGGACAUGACUCAGCACAGCUCGGGUCAUCCGGCCAUUUCCCUGACCGCCGGACCACACCCGGCCUACUCUAAAGCCGCAGGAGCGGCUCUCGUGUUCACUUACAUCAUGUAAUGCAAAGCAAAAGUGUAAGUGAGCUCUUGUCUGUUUGAAGUCUGACUGGAUGAACCAGUCCACCUGCCACCGUUCCCUUUUCUGAUGAAUCUUCUCGCCCCGUGCGUUUGUCGGCACAUGAGCUUUCGUGGAAACGGUUACAGAUUGGAAGACGCCGGCGCGCUGGCAGUUUGCAUGAUUACUCACACAGAUAGGGAGAGACCACGGGCUGAGCAAUCUGGGAAAGCCGCCCUCCUACACGCUGUAGGUACACACAUAACCACGCACACACAUCCCAUGCGGGUUAUUCAUUUCUAAGGUUGGCAAUUCACUGCAACGUACCUCCUCCCCUUUACACGUGAGACUCAAACUCGCCUUAUUGUUAGCAGAUUCUCUCUUGAUUUGUCCUAAUAUAUCAUUUAUCUGUUAAGAGUCUUGAACAGGAGCCUUUUUCUUUGCUUUGUCGGAUGAGCGACAGAGCCGUGGUGAAAUGGCAAUGGCGAUACAUUUCAUCACGCAAUGUUUGCAGAAAAUAGAUACAUAAAUGUAAGUGUGCACAGCU